rnacentral:rRNA from 1 species
GGCGCUGCGCUAACCGCAAGGAGGCAGGCGACCACGGUAGGGUCAGCGACUGGGGUGAAGUCGUAACAAGGUAGCCGUAGGGGAACCUGCGGCUGGAUCACCUCCUUU